rnacentral:rRNA from 1 species
AUACGUAGGGGGCUAGCGUUAUCCGGAAUUACUGGGCGUAAAGGGUGCGUAGGUGGUUUCUUAAGUCAGAAGUGAAAGGCUACGGCUCAACCGUAGUAAGCUUUUGAAACUAAGAGACUUGAGUGCAGGAGAGGAGAGUAGAAUUCCUAGUGUAGCGGUGAAAUGCGUAGAUAUUAGGAGGAAUACCAGUUGCGAAGGCGGCUCCCUGGACUGUAACUGACACUGAGGCACGAAAGCGUGGGGAGCAAACAGGAUUAGAUACCCUGGUAGUCCACGCCGUAAACGAUGAGUACUAGCUGUCGGGGGUUACCCCCCUCGGUGGCGCAGCUAACGCAUUAAGUACUCCGCCUGGGAAGUACGCUCGCAAGAGUGAAACUCAAAUGAAUUGACGGG